rnacentral:ncRNA from 1 species
GAUUCGGUGUCUACCGAAAAGGGAUUAAAAGGGAAUCAGGUGUAAAUCCUGAGCUUUUCCUGAAGCUGUAAGUCUCGUUAAAGGUUGAGAUUAACGCCACUGUGUAAAAACGGGAAGGCCUCUACCCUUGAGACAAGCCAGAAGACCUGCCAAGAGCACAU